rnacentral:hammerhead_ribozyme from 1 species
AUCCAACUGACGAGUCGCAAAUAGGACGAAAUGAGCAUCAUGAAU